rnacentral:rRNA from 1 species
UACGUAGGGGGCGAGCGUUGUCCGGAUUCAUUGGGCGUAAAGAGCUCGUAGGCGGUUUGGUAAGUCGGGUGUGAAAACCCCAGGCUCAACCUGGGGACGCCACCUGAUACUGCUAUGACUUGAGUCUGGUAGGGGACCACGGGAAUUCCGUGGUGUAGCGGUGAAAUGCGCAGAUAUCAGGAGGAACACCGGUGGCGAAGGCGGUGGUCUGGGCCAGUACUGACGCUGAGGAGCGAAAGCGUGGGUAGCAAACAGG